rnacentral:rRNA from 1 species
GACGAACGCUGGCGGCGUGCUUAACACAUGCAAGUCGAACGGUGAAGCGCCUUCCUUUUUGGUGGGUGUGGAUGAGUGGCGAACGGGUGAGUAACACGUGAGUAACCUGCCCCCUUCUUCUGGAUAACCGCAUGAAAGUGUGGCUAAUACGGGAUAUUCUGGGUCUGUCGCAUGAUGGGUCUGGGAAAGAUAUUGUUUCGGUGGGGGAUGGGCUCGCGGCCUAUCAGGUUGUUGGUGGGGUGAUGGCCUACCAAGGCGGUGACGGGUAGCCGGCCUGAGAGGGUGGACGGUCACACUGGGACUGAGACACGGCCCAGACUCCUACGGGAGGCAGCAGUGGGGAAUAUUGCACAAUGGGCGCAAGCCUGAUGCAGCGACGCCGCGUGAGGGAUGGAGGCCUUCGGGUUGUGAACCUCUUUCGCCAGUGAAGCAGGCCUGCCUCGUUUGUGGGUGGGUUGACGGUAGCUGGAUAAGAAGCGCCGGCUAACUACGUG